UUUUGUUUGUGUUGCUUGUAUCAAUGCUAGCACUGAAUGUGUUGCAUAGAUUGUGAAACACUUGAGUUAAAAUAUUCGACGAAUUCUGACAUCUUUCUAUAAAACGAGCCGAUGCUAUAAAUGGAUUGUCUAUGACACUCAGUCGACAACUAGUCGACAAUUAACAAUAAAGUAAAAUGGCUGGAACUCGUUGGACUGCGACAGACGUCCUGUGAAAUAUGUGUAAUGUUGAAAGGGUUACUGUUGUAAAUAAACCUUAAAGUAGAAGUGUCGUAUUUCUCAUCGUUUACCGUGUUAGUGCAUGCUGUGUUUACCUGUGUGUUAACAUUGUGCUCAUACGAAUAUAAGAAAAGUUUUUAACAGUGUUUUGUGUCUUGUUUUUUCACGGAGAUCAUCAAUUUGCUGUUUAAUUUGGAUUUAUGUUUACUUGGUUACGGUUAGUAUGUAACAUAUUGAAUAUUUCCAUUCUAAAAAUUAACUUUCCGAUAGUAUAGUUUCUGUGAAGCGUGUAUUAAAAAAGUUUAAAAGUU